UACGUAGGGGGCAAGCGUUGUCCGGAUUCAUUGGGCGUAAAGGGUGCGUAGGUGGCGUCGUAAGUCGGGUGUGAAAUUUCGGAGCUUAACUCCGAAACUGCAUUCGAUACUGCGGUGCUUGAGGACUGGAGAGGAGACUGGAAUUUACGGUGUAGCAGUGAAAUGCGUAGAGAUCGUAAGGAAGACCAGUGGCGAAGGCGGGUCUCUGGACAGUUCCUGACACUGAGACACGAAGGCCAGGGGAGCAAACGGG
rnacentral:rRNA from 1 species